AAUUCUAAGAAAUAAGGCUUGCUGGGGAGGCCUGCGGGGACAUCUAAUAUUCUUUCUCUCUGAACUCUGUGCCCCAAAGUCGUGAACUUGCCUGUUGGGGAUUCUGAGUGAAUGCUGGAAAUCCAGAUUCGUUGGGGCCAGAGUUUGCCCUGCGCAUGAGGGAGAGGGUGUGGGGUAUGGGCAGAGGUGGCAAGGGAGGCUUUGUGAAACGUUACACUCUGCUUCCUCAACUGCAGGCCAUUUCUCUGGGCCAGGAGCCAGCUGUUCCCAAAAUGGCCACGAUGCCUCAGGAGGGAGGUUGACACCCUGUGCUCUCAGAAGCAGCUCAGAGCUCAGAGGCAGACCUCUACUCAUGCAAUUCUGCCUUCUGUGCAUGCAAUGGAUUGCUGCCAUCUCCAAUCAGCCACAAUGGGAGGCCACCUGCUAGACAUGGAAGAGCCACCGGAUGGAAGAAGCCUGGGUCUCUGAAAUACUGCUUGGAGUAGACUACUCUGCCUGCAAACUAGGAGCACUGAUUUUGGACUUUUUGGGAGGGACUUCUAUGCCCUCUGCAGUUUGCCUCUUCCUCUGCUAUUUUUUCAUGUAUGUGUAUGUUUUUUGCCUGUAUUUGCAAUGCCAGCCAUCAUUUGCCAUGUCUUCUAGCGGCAACCUGCAUUUAGCCCAGAUCUGCUGUGAUUAUUCCUUUUCACAAACCACAAUGACUCUGGAAAACCUGGCUGUAAACACCAGCACUGCCACCAGCUAAGGAUCUGUGAUCAGGAGUGCCAUCUCACGGUAACAGGGGUGAAGAUAAGCUUGUGCAGGCCACUGGCUAACACAGUUCAUCCCAUGCCUCCUACAUACCAAGCACUGUGCCAGGCACUUUUCACGUCUGGCAUCCUCAGAAUCCUCCAAAAGGAGAGGUUCGUGGAGGAUAAUGCUGUCAGGCUUGGAAGCAGCAGUAGAGAUCACGUUGCCCAGCUCUUGGCAUCAUUGGUUCCCAAAGCUCUGAAUCCCCUGGAGAGCUUUUGUAAAAGGUCGGAUUCAGACAAUCCGGUGGAGCACUCUGAAAUUUAGAGGAAGUGGUCAAAUAGAAUUUUCUGGAAUUAUGGAAAUCUUCUAUUCUGUGCAUCUAGUAUAGUAGAAUCUAGUCACAUGUGGCUUUUGAGAACUGGAAAUAUGGCUAAUGCAACAGAGAAAGUGAAUUUUUACUUUUGAUUCAUUUAAAUAUAAAUGGUCACAUAUGACAUCACUGCCAUAUUGGACAUUGCAGUUCUGGAAGAUGGCAGAUGCAGCCCUCAGAAGAAUUAUCAGCCUGAAUGUCUGGGCGGAGCAGAGCACUACCUUCCCACUCACUCUUCCCCUCCUCUCGCCCCCUCCCCUGCCUCACUUGCAUCAGAUUAUGAUGUGAGCAAAAGCAGGAAACAGCUCUUUUGAUAGGCCUGUGAGACUUGCUGUUCGUUGGAGUAGCUAGGCUGCUCUGACUCAUACAGACCCAAAUCCUGGCAACCACUUUUAUGAAGAAAUGACAAUUCAGUCUACUACUUGUCCAUUUUACAUGCCCAAGGAAUGUGAGGGGCCUCUGCUUGGAUCUAGUUUUCAACCUAGUCUAUGGCAUUGAUUAUCCUUUUAAAAGACAAAAGAGGUGACUUCACGGGCACUUAACAUCUUGGCCAUACUGACCCCAGUUGCACGCUACGUAGGAAGUUUUAGUCCAUUUAAACUGAAGUUCCAAUUUUUUUUUUAACAACUAUUUAAAAAUUGUACAUGUCCCAUACAUGACAGAGAAAGGGUUGUCUGGUUGGAUGAUUUUUGGCUUGCAAAAAGAGAACACAAAAGAAAAGCAUACGUUUUAAUACUCAAGAGACCAAAUUUUCUGCUGAAGAGGAAAUGAACUACAUAUCCAGAAGGGUCCUACCAAGAGGCCAAACAGACUGUGUUCUCUUGGGGGAGUUCUCAGUGGUGAUGAGAACACCACUUUUUUUUUUUUUUUAGUCAUUUUCAAGGUGAGAUAUUGACUUGCUGCUGGAGCAGGACAACUGGUCUCUCUUUCAUUGCUAGCAGCAGAGUAAGGGUCUUGCAAGUUUCAGGCAGCAGCAGAGAAAGGGUCUUGCAAGUUUCAGUCCAAAGCAAGAAGAGCUAGGAUUGCACCAGCUGUCUCACCUACUCUGUGCUCACCUGUUUCUGGAUGAAGCACGGUGACAUCUGUUUUAUUGUAAAGAGAACCAACUUUGGAAUCAAAUGGAACCUGUAUUAAAAUCCUGAAUCCGUCACUAGCUUGGACAAGUCACUUCACUUCUCUGAACCUUGUUUUAUUCCAGUUAAGAAUAAUAGUAAGCCAGUCCCACAGAGCUGUAGCAAGGUUAAAAUGAAUGGUUGUCUGUAGAAGCAUUUAAAAUAGGGCUUCAUACAGAGCCAGUACCUGGGGAGACUGAGGGUUUGAACCACAUAGUUCCACUCUGGCAAAUCACAGAGGGGCUGUAGGAUGGUCCUUUAAGGGGGAUGUGUUAUGGGUUAAUUGGAACAGUGCUUCUUAAACUCCAGUGUGCAUUCAUAUUGCUUAGGGGUUUUGUUUAAAUGCAGAUUCUGAGUUACUAGGAUUAUGCAAUUUGAAUGAGCUUGCAGAUAAUUUCAUGGCUGCUGGUCUCUGACAUCACCUUUGAGAAGCAAAGAAUUAAAGGUCCUGUCCUGAUCUGUCUCCUUCUCCUGUUAUCUGUGCAAAAGAGAUAUACUGUCUACUUUGCAUAGUGAGAUGGCAGGUACAAAAGUAGGAUGAGGAUAAUGUAGCAUGAGCACAGAGAAGGAAAACCUAGGAGGAUGAGUAAAGAAAUCAUGGGAAAAGAGAUAGAUUCAAGGCUUUCAAUCCUGACUAGACUUUAAAUUCACCUGGAGAGCUUUAAAAAAACUAGCCAUUGUCUGGUCCCAGGAAUACUGAUUUAAUUGAUUAGGAUGGGACCAGACAUGACAUGUUAAAGAAAAUAACUCCCCAGAUUAUUCUAGUGUGUAGCCAGGGUUAAGAACUGCUGGGCUAGACAAAUGAGACAACUUUCCCAGAUGGAAAGAAUCAGGAAGGGGCCUUAUCAAGAUAUUAUGUCAGGUUUGGUUUUCAGGGGGCUGAUAGGAAAGAAAAAGAAAUGCUUCAUGGAAAUUGCAGGUAAGACAGGCCAAUUGGUUGAAACCUUGACAAAUCAGACCAUUUGAUCAAAUUGUUCCCAAAAUAUGAAAACUCUGUCUCAACCGAAAUAAUCACUUAGCUCUGGGACUCUAAAGCAACCUGUUUGUCUGUUGGGAAGCUAGGGUAAAUGUGAGAAGUGAAAUCCAUGCCAUUUUUUGGAACUGGAGACUUUUUAAUAAUUUCAUUAACAUUGUCAGUUUGGUUGUCCUCUGUGAUCAGAAGCUGUCGAAUGAUGUUCAUUUGAGUACAGAAGCCAGCCCUUUCUGUAGCAUUAACCAGGCCUCAGUCCAGUGGAUCUCUACAGGGUGCCACGAGCCCAGCACAAGUGCUCCAACACAUUCUGACCAAUGAGCAUAAUUAAUUUGUUGUAAUUGACUUUACACUCUUGAAGCCCAGGUGUAGACUUCCUUCUUGUUACCAGAAGCCAGCUCAGACAUGGCCCUUUGCCAGCCUCAACACAAAGCUCAGCUCUCUUCCAGGGUUCCCUAAGAUCUAGGCACGUCAAGCAUCUGAAAAUAAUAUGGUUUUACAGAAGAUUCCUUACAUCCUGCGGUGGGGCCAGCUCAGGCACUGAACAACGUUUUGUUUGAGCAAUCCCCAUUGGACACAUCUCUCCCCCGAAUCCCUGUCUGCACAGCCAAUAAGGUGAUUCUCCUCUGUCACCCUCCUUAGCCCUUGCCCAUUCUUUUAUUCCUUUACAAGACAGCUGGGUUUAGCCCUGUCCUAAGUGCUCCACACUCGGCUGCCUGCACCCAGGCAUAGCAAACACAAAGCCCUUCGGAACCCCAGGCCCACCCUCUUUAGAUACAUGUUAUAAACUGUUACUGUUGAUGAGGUCAUUCCAGUGGGUGUCAAGCUGGGCACAGCUUCUGGUAAGAAGAAGAAAGCAUAGCAGAUUCACAUCUCAGCCAAAGAACCUGGCUGUGAAAAGCCUUUGCCUAAAAGGUCAUGCAGUCCACAGUUCUGCCACACAACUGCAGCCUGGAAUCACAUGGGGAGUUCUUAAAAUGCUGAUGGCUGGGCUGUACCCCUGAAAUUCUGAUUUAAUUGGCCUGGGGUGUGGCCUGGGCAUUAGAGUUUUGUUAAAGUUCCCAAGUCAUUCCUGCCAUGCUGCCAAAUUUGAGAGACGUUGUUCUAAAGAGGCUUAGCGAUAAAGGCCAAGUGAAAAGGACAACCAGUCCUACGUUAUAGUUGCAAUUGCUUUGUCCUUAUUACUGACCUGUUUGGUCUUGUUUUGAGUCUUUUAAUCCCUUCAACUGAACUCUCCAAAAUUCUACUAUUGGACAGUAUAGCACAGAAAGUUUGGG
rnacentral:lncRNA from 1 species